AUGGCCACCAAGGGAUACCAGGCUCCAGCCCCGGCGAUGCCCGCGGCGGGAGGGGGCGCCGGUUCCGGCGGCGGCGGCGGCAGCGACAACAGGGUGCCGAAGGGGAGCAUGCCGCUGCGUCGCCGCGGCCAGGUCAAGGAGAAGAUCAUCAAGGACGUGGUCGCCGCGGUCGCCAACAUGGCCGCGGGGCUCGUCCGCGCCGACAAGAACGGCGCCGGCACCGGCGGUCUCCCGGCCGCCGGCGACGCCGGUGCCAAGUGA
rnacentral:rRNA from 1 species